AGCAUAUCAAUAAGCGGAGGAAAAGAAACUAACAAGGAUUCCCCUAGUAACUGCGAGUGAAGAGGGAAAAGCUCAAAUUUAAAAUCUGGCAGUCUUUGGCUGUCCGAGUUGUAAAUUAGAGAAGUGUUAUCUGCUCAAGCCUGUGCAAAAGUCUCUUGGAAAAGGGCAUCAUAGAGGGUGACAAUCCCGUCUUUGGCACAGAUCACUUGCGCUUUUGUGAUGCGCUCUCGAUGAGUCGAGUUGUUUGGGAAUGCAGCUCCAAAUGGGUGGUAAAUUCCAUCUAAAGCUAAAUAUGGGCGAGAAACCGAUAGCGCACAAGUACCGUGAGGGAAAGAUGAAAAGAACUUUGAAAAGAGAGUUAAACAGUAUGUGAAAUUGUUGAAAGGGAAACGCUUGAAGUCAGUCGUAUCCUUCAGAAUCAACCUGACUUUUGGUUGGGUAUAAUUUUUGUUGGAUGGGUCAGCAUCAAUUUUGAUCAUUGGAUAAAGGACUUGGAAAUGUGGCAUCUUUAGAUGUGUUAUAGCCCUUGUUUGUAUACAAUGAUUGGGAUUGAGGAACUCAGUGUGACUUUGGUCUGGGGGUAUUACCUCACAUACGCACUUAGGAUGCUGGCAUAAUGGCUUUAAUCGACCCGUCUUGAAACACGGACCAAGGAGUCUAACAUACAUGCAAGUGUUUGGGUGGAAAACUCAAGCGCGUAAUGAAAGUGAAAGUUGAGAACCCUGUCAUGGGGUGCACUGACGCCCGGUCUUGAUCUUUUGUGACGGACCUGCGGUAGAGCAUGUAUGUUGGGACCCGAAAGAUGGUGAACUAUGCCUGAAUAGGGUGAAGCCAGAGGAAACUCUGGUGGAAGCUCGUAGCGAUUCUGACGUGCAAAUCGAUCGUCAAAUUUGGGUAUAGGGGCGAAAGACUAAUCGAACCAUCUAGUAGCUGGUUCCCGCC
rnacentral:rRNA from 2 species